rnacentral:lncRNA from 1 species
GGAAAAUGGCAAUUUUAAUGAAAUAAUGAAAACACCUACAUCACCAUUAUACAUUCAACAUUUUAAGAAAAUUACAAAUUAAUGAUAAGUUCAUAAAAGUGUGUAGCACCUCCCCCUCUUUCUCUCCUGCUCCAGCCAUGUGAAGAUGUACUGCCUUCACUUUGCCUUCCGCCAUGAUUGAAAGUUUCCUGAGGCCUCCCCAGCCAUGCUACCUGUACAGCCUGUGAAAUGUGUCUCACUCUGUCACCCAGGCUGGAGUGCAAUGGCACAAUCACGGCUCACUGCAAUCUUCCUCUCUUGGGCUCAAGCGAUCUGCCCACCUUGGCCUCCCAAAGUGCUGGGAUCACAGGUAUGAACCACCACAACUGGCCCCUCACCAUCUUCUUACAAACUGGCAACUUUUCCUUUUUGGUACUCAUCAAAAUACUUAAAAUAUUUUCCUAAGCCUAGAGGCAUAUCUAACAAAGGAAACCUUCCCCUACUCUGCUUCAUCUGAGUGAAGAAAUAGGUUUACGCCAAAAGUACUUACUGGAUAGCAUUAUCAAAAACAGCGGCAGUUUAGCUUUAAUAUGAUUUAUAGAUGUGGCAUGAUUGGGAAAGACAUUUACUGUGUUUCUCUACCAUGUUACACUCAGGACUCCAUCAAGCCUCCUGUACCAAAGUGAUUAGAUCCUCUGUGAUAUCUACUUGGAGUAUAUCCUUUCCCAUUUUCGUGGGUAUUGACUCUAGUAAUCACCUUGAAUUUCAAGCAGCAGCCAGGCACUUUUAUUUCAGGUUGAUUGUCAGAAGCUAAGUUUUCAGCACACUGCCAAGUCUCCCUAAUGUCAACAAAGCUAGCAGUCAGUCCUGGGCCAGAUUUGUCCCCUUCCUGAAGCAAUGUCUGAAGGUGAACAGGAGUCACUCCCCGGCAUCUCCCCAGUCCUUGUGUGCCAUGUGGAUAAAAAAGAUACAGUCGCCAUGACUGGCUAGCUUGAAGAUGCCAACAGGUCUCAAUUGCCCUGACUUGGUUUAUGACAAAUCCAGCCUAAGGCUGCCAUUUAAAAAUGGAGAGACGGCCGGACUCAUCUUUCUCAAGCUAUCUGGACUUCAAUAUUACGCUUGUGACCUGAAUUAUCUUAUUUAGUUGUUUUCUUGGUUGGUGCAAGUCAGCUCCUGGAAGGCAGAACUGUUUUGUUCUCCAUUGCACCUCUUGGGAUUUUUGCCAUAGGCUUCUCUGUACUGUUUGCAUUUCUGGUUGUUUGCUCGAGUUACCUCUUUGGGAACUGAGGAAUUUACACUAAAACACCUGUUGCUUUACAGAAGAGAUACUAGUGCCCAUCUGGCAGGGGCCUUUUCUAGUCUCAGGCACGCUGAGCAGACCUACA